AAAUCAGUCAUGGAAUCUUGUUAGAAAGCAGAUUCAGCAUUGCAGGUCUGGGGCAGGCCUGAGACUCUGAAUUUCUAAAAGCUCCAGGUGAUGCUCAU
rnacentral:miRNA from 1 species